rnacentral:rRNA from 1 species
AGACUCCUACGGGAGGCAGCAGUGGGGAAUCUUGCGCAAUGGGCGAAAGCCUGACGCAGCGACGCCGCGUGAGGGAAGAAGGCCUUCGGGUUGUAAACCUCUUUCAGGAGGGACGAAGCUACUCGGGUGAAUAGCCCAGAGGGUGACGGUACCUCCAGAAGAAGCCCCGGCUAACUACGUGCCAGCAGCCGCGGUAAUACGUAGGGGGCAAGCGUUGUCCGGAUUUACUGGGCGUAAAGCGCGUGUAGGCGGCCACGCAGGUCCGUUGUGAAAACUGGAGGCUCAACCUCCAGACGUCGACGGAAACCGUGUGGCUAGAGUCCGGAAGAGGAGAGUGGAAUUCCUGGUGUAGCGGUGAAAUGCGCAGAUAUCAGGAAGAACACCAAUGGCGAAGGCAGCUCUCUGGGACGGUACUGACGCUGAGACGCGAAAGCGUGGGGAGCGAACAGGAUUAGAUACCCUGGUAGUCCACGCCGUAAACGAUGGGUGCUAGGUGUGGGAGGUGUCGACUCCUUCCGUGCCGUAGCUAACGCAUUAAGCACCCCGCCUGGGGAGUACGGCCGCAAGGCUAAAACUCAAAGGAAUUGACGGGGCCCCGCACAAGCAGCGGAGCAUGUGGUUUAAUUCGAUGCAACGCGAAGAACCUUACCAGGGCUUGACAUGCACUGGAAAACCG